GAUGAACGCUGGCGGCGUGCUUAACACAUGCAAGUCGAACGAUGAAGCCCAGCUUGCUGGGCGGAUUAGUGGCGAACGGGUGAGUAACACGUGAGUAACCUGCCCUUGACUCUGGGAUAAGCCCGGGAAACUGGGUCUAAUACCGGAUAGGAGCGCCUGUCGCAUGACGGGUGCUGGAAAGAUCUUUCGGUCAUGGAUGGACUCGCGGCCUAUCAGCUUGUUGGUGAGGUAACGGCUCACCAAGGCGACGACGGGUAGCCGGCCUGAGAGGGUGACCGGCCACACUGGGACUGAGACACGGCCCAGACCCCUACGGGAGACAGCAGUGGGGAAUAUUGCACAAUGGGCGAAAGCCUGAUGCAGCGACGCCGCGUGAGGGAUGACGGCCUUCGGGUUGUAAACCUCUUUCAGCAGGGAAGAAGCGAAAGUGACGGUACCUGCAGAAGAAGCACCGGCUAACUACGUG
rnacentral:rRNA from 1 species